rnacentral:rRNA from 1 species
UACGUAGGGUGCGAGCGUUAAUCGGAAUUACUGGGCGUAAAGCGUGCGUAGGCGGUUCGCUGUGUCCGAUGUGAAAGCCCCGGGCUUAACCUGGGAAUGGCAUUGGAAACUGGCGGGCUCGAGUGCGGCAGAGGGGGGUGGAAUUCCGCGUGUAGCAGUGAAAUGCGUAGAGAUGUGGAGGAACACCGAUGGCGAAGGCAGCCCCCUGGGUCGACACUGACGCUCAGGCACGAAAGCGUGGGGAGCAAACAGG